GUCGAGCGGGCGUAGCAAUACGUCAGCGGCAGACGGGUGAGUAACGCGUGGGAACGUACCUUUUGGUUCGGAACAACACAGGGAAACUUGUGCUAAUACCGGAUAAGCCCUUACGGGGAAAGAUUUAUCGCCGAAAGAUCGGCCCGCGUCUGAUUAGCUAGUUGGUAGGGUAAUGGCCUACCAAGGCGACGAUCAGUAGCUGGUCUGAGAGGAUGAUCAGCCACAUUGGGACUGAGACACGGCCCAAACUCCUACGGGAGGCAGCAGUGGGGAAUAUUGGACAAUGGGGGCAACCCUGAUCCAGCCAUGCCGCGUGAGUGAUGAAGGCCCUAGGGUUGUAAAGCUCUUUUGUGCGGGAAGAUAAUGACGGUACCGCAAGAAUAAGCCCCGGCUAACUUCGUGCCAGCAGCCGCGGUAAUACGAAGGGGGCUAGCGUUGCUCGGAAUCACUGGGCGUAAAGGGUGCGUAGGCGGGUCUUUAAGUCAGGGGUGAAAUCCUGGAGCUCAACUCCAGAACUGCCUUUGAUACUGAAGAUCUUGAGUUCGGGAGAGGUGAGUGGAACUGCGAGUGUAGAGGUGAAAUUCGUAGAUAUUCGCAAGAACACCAGUGGCGAAGGCGGCUCACUGGCCCGAUACUGACGCUGAG
rnacentral:rRNA from 1 species